CGGGGGGCAGCAGGCGCGAAACCUUUGCAAUGCGCGAAAGCGUGACAGGGUCAUCCUGAGUGCCGUCCGCUGAGGAUGGCUUUUACCCGGUCUAACCAGCCGGGCGAAUAAGGGGAGGGCAAGUCUGGUGUCAGCCGCCGCGGUAAUACCAGCUCCUCGAGUGGUUGGGACGAUUAUUGGGUCUAAAGCGUCCGUAGCCGGCUGGAAAAGUUCUCCGUAAAAUCCAACGAUCCAAUCGUUGGAUCGCGGGGAAUACUUUCCGGCUUGGGGGCGGGGGAGGUCGGCGGUAGUCCCGGGGUAGGGGCGAAAUCUUAUAAUCCCGGGAGGACCACCAGUGGCGAAGGCGGCCGACUAAAACGCGCCCGACGGUGAGGGACGAAAGCUGGGGGAGCGAACGGGAUUAGAUACCCCGGUAGUCCCAGCUGUAAACGAUGCAGGCUAGGUGUUAGGACGGGUACGGCCCGUCCUAGUGCCGCAGGGAAGCCAUUAAGCCUGCCACCUGGGGAGUACGGCCGCAAGGCUGAAUUCUAAAGGAAUUGGCGGGGGAGCAC
rnacentral:rRNA from 1 species